AAACAUAUAGGUUUGGUCCUAGACUUUCUAUUAGCUCUCAGUGAGAUAACACAUGCAAGCAUCCACAGCCCUGUGACAAUGCCCUCUAGAUUAUCAGAACAUGAGGAGCGAGUAUCAAGCACGCGCACAUGCAGCUCAAAACACUUUGCUUAGCCACGCCCCCACGGGAAACAGCAGUGACAAACUUUUAGCAAUGAACAAAAGUUUAACUAAGUUACACUGACCAUUAGAGUGGGUCAAUUUCGUGUCAGCCACCACGGCCACAUGGUUGACUCAAGUUAAUAGAGCCCGGUGUAAAGAGUGUUUAAGAUUUUAUUCCCAAUAAAGCUAACCUAUAACUAAGUCAUACAAAACCCCAGUUAUGGUAAAAUAUCGUACGAAAGUGGCUUUAGUACCCUGAAUACACUAUUGCUAAGGUGCAAACUGGGAUUAGAUACCCCACCAUGCCUAGCCCUAAACCUCAAUAACUUAACCAACAAAAUUAUUCGCCAGAACACUACAAACAAUAGCAUGAAACUCAAAGGACCUGGCGGUGCUUUCCUUCUGUCUACAGGAGCCUGUUCUAUAAUCGACAUACCCCGAAAAACCUUAUCACCUCUUGCCCUCAGCCUGUAUACCGCAAUCUUCAACAAACUCCUUAAAGAUCAUAAAGUAAGCAGAAGUAUCAUCAUAAAAACGUUAGGUCAAGGUGCAGCCAAUGAAGUGGGAAGAAAUGGGCUACAUUUUCUAAAUUAGAAAAACUACAGAUAGCCUUUAUGAAAUCUCAGGGCCUAAGGUGGAUUUAGCAGUAAAUCAAGAAUAGAGAGCUUGAUUGAAACAAGGCCAUUAAGCAGGCACACACCGCCUUCCACCCUCCUCAAACAUCACAUAAAAAUACCUUAACAAUAAGCGACUACACACUGAUAUAGAGGGAAUAAGUCGUAAUAUGGAAGCAUACUGGAAAGUGUGCUUGGAUGAAUUAAAGU
rnacentral:ncRNA from 1 species